CCGGUCCUGGCGGACGGCCUCGACGCCGGCGUACAGCUCGCCGAGGGAGUACAGGGCGGCGGUCUCCUCGCCGAGGCUGGG
rnacentral:tRNA from 1 species